rnacentral:rRNA from 1 species
GGAGUCUGGACCGUGUCUCAGUUCCAGUGUGGGGGACCUUCCUCUCAGAACCCCUACUGAUCGAAGGCCAGGUGGGCCGUCACCCCGCCUGCUGCCUAAUCAGACGCAUCCCCAUCCCGAGGCGGCAAGCCUUUCGUGCAACUCUGAUGCCAUCAUCGCACGACAUCCGGCAUUAAUCCGGUUUUCACCGGGCUAUUCCGGACCCCAGGGAAGGUUGGAUACGCGUUACUCACCCGUGCGCCGGUCGCCAUCACCGUGUGCAAGCACACGACAUGCUGCCCCUCGACUUGCAUGUGUUAAGCCUGUAGCUAGCGUUCAUC